CUGGUAGAGAGGUCACCGUCAGUGCAAUGAGGAGAAGAGGAAGAUGUAUUAUUUUGGGCAAUGUUUUCUCUGAAGAGCAACUGAACCUUGAAAGAGGCAGGAGGUACUGUAACAUUAGGACAAAGACUGUUCGGAUGGGGAACAGCUUCUUCUCCCAGGCUGUGAGAUUACUGAACUCCCUGCCGUCACCCAGCUCAUCGUAUGAAAUGCCAGUAUGCCUCAUCAUGUUCGCUCAGUGGCUUCCCAU